GAUCCUGGCUCAGGACGAACGCUGGCGGCGUGCCUAACACAUGCAAGUCGAACGGAACCGUUUUGAAAGAUUUCUUCUGAAUGAAUUUGAUUUAGUUUAGUGGCGGACGGGUGAGUAACGCGUGAGUAACCUGCCUUCAAGAGGGGGAUAACAUUCUGAAAAGGAUGCUAAUACCGCAUGACAUAUCGGAACCACAUGGUUUUGAUAUCAAAGAUUUUAUCGCUUGAAGAUGGACUCGCGUCCGAUUAG
rnacentral:rRNA from 1 species